rnacentral:rRNA from 1 species
CCCUUAGAUGUUCUGGGCCGCACGCGUGCUACACUGAUGCAUUCAACGAGUGUACCUUGGCCGAGAGGCCUGGGCAAUCUUUUGAACGUGCAUCGUGAUAGGGAUAGAUUAUUGCAAUUAUUAAUCUUGAACGAGGAAUUCCUAGUAAACGCAGUUCAUCAAACUGCAUUGAUUACGUCCCUGCCCUUUGUACACACCGCCCGUCGCACCUACCGAUUGGAUGGUCCGGUGAAGCCUCGGGAUUGUGGCGGUUGCCUUUAUUGGUGGCCGCCGCGAGAACUUGUCUAAACCUUAUCAUCUAGAGGAAGGUGAAGUCGUAACA